CAGCGCAGUGUAGCAAUACAUGGGCGGCGACCGGCAAACGGGUGCGGAACACGUACGCAACCUUCCUUCAAAUGAGGAAUAGCCUUUCGAAAGAGAGAUUAAUACCUCGUAACAUUUUCUGGUGGCAUCACUGGAUUAUUAUAGCUCCGGCGUUUGAAGAUGGGCGUGCGCCUGAUUAGGUAGUUGGCGGAGUAACAGCCCACCAAGCCUACGAUCAGUAACUGGUGUGAGAGCACGACCAGUCACACGGGCACUGAGACACGGGCCCGACUCCUACGGGAGGCAGCAGUAAGGAAUAUUGGUCAAUGGACGCAAGUCUGAACCAGCCAUGCCGCGUGGAGGAUGAAGGUCCUCUGGAUUGUAAACUUCUUUUAUCGGAGAAGAAACCCCGGAAUUCUUUCUGGGUUGACGGUACCCGAUGAAUAAGCACCGGCUAACUCCGUGCCAGCAGCCGCGGUAAUACGGAGGGUGCAAGCGUUAUCCGGAUUCACUGGGUUUAAAGGGAGCGUAGGUGGGGUGGUAAGUCAGUGGUGAAAUCUCCGGGCUUAACUCGGAAACUGCCGUUGAUACUAUCAUUCUUGAAUAUUGUGGAGGUAAGCGGAAUAUGUCAUGUAGCGGUGAAAUGCUUAGAUAUGACAUAGAACACCGAUAGCGAAGGCAGCUUGCUACACAAUUAUUGACACUGAGGCUCGAAAGCGUGGGGAUCAAACAGGAUUAGAUACCCUGGUAGUCCACGCCCUAAACGAUGGAUACUCGACAUACGCGAUACACAGUGUGUGUCUGAGCGAAAGCAUUAAGUAUCCCACCUGGGAAGUACGACCGC
rnacentral:rRNA from 1 species